GGGUCAGUAGGUUGGUCGUGCCACCGGUACGUACUGGUCUCACUGAUUCCUCCUUCCUGAAGAACCGUAAUGCCAUUAAUUUGGUGUUGCGGGGAAACAGGACUGUUACAUUGAAAAAAUUAGAGUGUUUAAAGCAAGCUAACGCUUGAAUACAUUAGCAUGGAAUAAUGAAAUAGGACGAUCGAUCCUAUUUUGUUGGUUUCUAGGAUUGACGUA
rnacentral:rRNA from 1 species